GAGGAGUGUGGUGGACAUUGUUUUUGAGACCAAGAAGUAUUUUUCUUUUAAAUAUGUUGUAAAUACAAUUUGCUAAAUGAAACAAUAUAUUUUGAAAGAUCUUGUUUUACUAAGUAUUACAAAAUGAGUCAUAAGCAGUCACUAGAAAAUGAUUUGAACAAACUGAACAAUCUCUCAUCAUUGUCACAAACAAGAAUGCUGGAACAGCUGUAUGAUAAACACUUAGGAGUAGCUGUUAAGUACAUACAAUACAAAUGCACAGUUCCUACUUGUGCCCAAAUAUGGAAGUGGUUAAAUAUGAAUUGUGGGACUUCAAUAAAGUACUAAUUUUUUGCUUUAAUAUUAUCAAAGAACAAGUAGUAAAUUUAGAUAAAGUUAAUGCUUAAAUAAGCAUGAAGAUCAAUAAAAAUAAUUCAACACAAAAGUAAACAAAAUCUAAGCCAAUCCCAAACUAGUAAAGCAGAGGAAUUAACAGUUGUAUUUCUAUAUAAGUGGUGCUAGAGAUCCUAACAGUUGUGUGUACACACACAUUUUAGCGUGGCUCCUGUAUCAAGAUGACAUCCAAAUUCGUGAAGGGCUCCAUAUUUUUAGGUGCAGGUAUGGCUGUAUGAACAUUUUACUUCAAGCAUUCUAACUUGGGCCUUGACAUUACAUCUCUUGAAAUGUCAAAUUCAGCCAGUUUUAGUUACUUGGAUUCUGCUCUCAUUCAUGGUAACUUUAAUUCUGAGUUACAAAUAAUCACUCAUCUAAGUGACUUGAAAACAGAAUUCAUCAGAUACUUCCCAGAUAUAGAUGAAAAGCAUGAAACUUGGAAAUUUAUGAGGAACCCAUUUCAGUGUGAAGUAACUGAUGCUUUGGACGUUUUCUUGAGUUGAAGUUCAACUCCCCAGCUAAAGAUGACCUCAAAGAACUGGAUCAAGUACCUUCCUGCUUACCCUCUGAUCUGACAUCAGGCUCUUUGGAUUUUAGCUAUGUUUGGAUCCAAGUACCUUUGUGAAGCUGCAUAUUCCAUGCUUGUUGUUGUCAAGACCAAGUACAGAAACAGGUUGAACAUUGAAAGGUACUUAUGUGGUACACUCUCUAGCAUCCAAGAUCUUGUAACUAAGAGGUAGUGUCAAGUAUCUCACUUUUUGUAUGAUGUGAUUAUAAAUAAAAUAAUACAAAUUUUGUAUAAUGUAA